GAGUGAGCUUUCUUGGUUUUGGCCUAUUUUCUUGCUUGUCUUAAUGAUAUCUAAUUUCCCUUUAUAUAAAUGUAAUUGGAAUUGAAAGGCAUUGACAUCUUAAUGUAGUUUAGUGAUUUUAAUAACUGAUGGUGCAUACUGGUACUGUAUCAGAAUGCAAAUUUGAGGUAGAAUUUUAGAUUUUCAAUUUUGGGGGAUUUUGAUGUGUAAUAUGGUCAAUCUCUUCUUUUUUUUUGGAUAUGCAAUAUGGAUAUGGAUUGACUCUCCAUCUUUUGUUAGAAAAAAAUUGUUGUCCCAACCAGGACAGGCUUGUUUGAGCGAGCCGACCUUGCUACUGGCUCAUAUCGGCCUUUGUACCAGCUUGUGUCAGUCAGAACCGAUUGGAAUGGCCAAUUCAUCUCAUUCUCGUGCUUUAAAAAGUGUCAUCCCAAUUGGGGUGGGCUUCGUACUAAUCGUAUUAGCUUUGGUGUCGGUUGGUACCGAUUGGGACAACCAGCACGUCCUGAUUUUGCUUUUUUUUUGGUGAGCCGGUGCCCAUCCAAGUGUCAUUUUUGGACCAAAACAAUAUGGUACCAAUUAUGCCAUCCUCUUUUGGAGGUAUUUAAAUUCGUGCUGAAAGCCGAACCCUUUCACAAAACCAAGUUAGGUCUAGAUCCGGGUUGUAUAUACCCUUGGCUAGCCCGACUUAUACAUUAGCUUGUUUACUUUGUUUGGGUGUGGACUACCAAAGGUAACCCAAAUAAGUCUAAUAUGACUUGCAACAUAGACAAGCAACAAACUUCUCCAUCCCUUAAUCUGAAUCCUUAGCUCCUUUUAAGCUCUCUACAACUCCUCCUCCUCCUACAUCCUUAUCCAAGACUCCUAUCCUCUAGGUCACCCUUCCUAUCCUCACCCUCCUUUCUUGUGGCCCUUCUGCUCGUCGCAUCACUCCUCCAACAUCUCCUCUAAUGAAGUCAUUGAUACUCCUCUUCUGCUUGCUCUUUAAGGAGUCGUUCGAUAAAGCAUGGUUGCUGCUCAUGGUCAUAUUGAUGAGGCCUCUUGGGAGAAUGUUAUUCAUUGAAUGAUUAUUUAUGCAAUUUAGAAGUUGAAUUUUGUCGUAAUGAUUUCUUUUUUAAAAUUUGUUGUUUGCUUUACUUCUCUUUGCAUUCUCUCUCCUAUGUAUUCAUUACAGAACUUGGAAAAGUUUUAAUUGAUUGACAAAGUGAAACAUGCUAAUUGGAUUAAGUAUGAUACAUGAACAUCUCUCUUGUAUGACAUCUAACAUCUUUUUGUUUUUUUUGUCUUUGUGCCUUUAUAGUUUAUUUGGUCUCAAGGAAAAAGGCUUGAAAAACUUCUCCUUGGAAAAGCCUUUAUAUGGUUGUUUAUUUUGCAAGAAAAGCUUAUAAUAUGGAAAAUCACGUUUUACAUUUGUUGGAACAUUUGACUUUGUUUUCAAAAAAAGUAGAGGAAAAUAAAGCUUCAACUUUCUUAGAAUAUUGUGGUCCUCAAAAAAGUAGAUAGCUUUUAGUGGUUACUUGUGUGGACUGUCAUAGCCACUAAAUAACAAGAAAAGAGUAGUGGGGUCUUCCUUUAUGUUAUUGGUAUUUUUAGGUUGUAUAAGGUUUUUUUGCUUAUUUACAUUAGACCAAAUGUCACAGCUCGGGACGGGACAUGGACUAAGACCUGAAAAUUAGAGCAAGCAAUAGCCCGAACAGUCAGCCGAAUAAAUUUUAGAUUAGUUUCUAUCAUUUCUUACAAUUUGUUGUUCUUCCAGUUUGAAAAUCUUUGGACUUGAAGUUAUAUAACAUGUUUUCAGCUGUAAUUUUGGUCAAGCCAUAGACUACUAAACAUGAAUUGUACAAAAUUAAAGGACAGGAAGCUUCCUAUUAUUAUCAUAUAUUUUGUUAUAUUAGACUAAGUUGCUUAUGUUGGAAUGUGGUCUUCAUAUGUAUGUAUUGGUGACUCUGUAUAUUUAGUAUUGAAAUUUUUGGUUUUGAUUCUUGAAUAUUUUCUUUCUUUCUUUCUUUCUUUUUGUGUGUGUGUGUAUCAAUUGGUUAGUCUUGACUCCUAAGGUGAUUCUUUGUUUACAUAUUUACUGUUAAAUGAUAUAUCCAAUUUACUUUUAAAUGCCACUAGUGAUAAUUAAUGAAAGUAUGAGUACCGAAGUUUGAAGUUCACUUAGUGGUAUUGCUUCUCAAAUUGACUAGACUAAAGUUGGUAGUAGAAGAAGAUAAGUGUGAAAAAAAAAAAGUGAAAAGAGACUUGCCUAAACCUGAAAAUAGAAUAAUUCAUCGGAGUACCAGUACCGCUAUCCAUAACGAUAAUUUAUUGGUACAUGUUGACUGGUAUGGUACCAUAUUGUACCCACACAUGGUAUGUCUCUUGGUGCCAGCACUAUAUUAAUGAGGUGCUGUACCAUGUGUUGCAAUAGACAGGUACAGAGGGGCAUCCUGGCGUCAGUACCUUACUGAUACAAUAUAGUAUGGGUGGUAUAGGCUGAUACACACCGGUAUUUAGAUCCUUGCUCACAAGUAUAAAACAAGAACCUUACUAAAAAUGUUCUUUGCAAUAAUAAUUUUGGUAGCUAAUCUUAGCUUGAAAUAUUGUUAAGUAGCAAGUAACUUAGCUUUCUAUAUGCUUGACCCAGUAAGAAGCUGUGAAUGUAGCUGAUUAAUUGCUACUUUACAAUUCAUAAUUUCCAUUAGCAACUAACGCUAAUAACAUUUGUACUUGUAGUGAAAUACAGAGUUGUUUUUAUGGGAACAUUUUGGGCGAAAAAACAAAUUUAUUUUGUAGUACUAUAAUUGUAAGAUUUAAUUGACUAGAUCAUAAUCCAGGGUAAACUAAGCUGUGUUUGUAUUCAAUCAGUUCGACAUAUAGGUACACUAUUAAUUCAUAGCUUUUUUUGAAAUAAUGCAAUCAAGUGUAUCAGUCGCUAGUCCCACUAAACCACAAGGUCAAAUGAAAAGUCUGAAUGGUAGAUGCAUAUCAGUUAGCCUAAUAAUUGUUCUCAUUAUAUGUUGAGUGCUUAUUGCUUCCAGUGUCUUAUAUCGUUAGAUUCUAAAUUGGAGCUUGUUUGAGUCUAUAGACAUAGGAUGAAAUGAACCUAAACUAGCAUUCAAUAGUUAGGCAGCAGAUUUCAAUAGGAAUAGGAUGAAAAGUCGCCUUAGAAACAGUUGAAAAUUAAAUGCAACUAUUCUCAAAAAAUGAAUAGUGGCUAAUGCUAAUGCAUAAUAAUUAAAUGCAACUUUUCUCAAAAAAUGAAAAGGGACUAUGGUUCAAUUGACCUAUUGGCUUAUAAUUUUGGCUUCAGAAAUGAACUCAUCUCCCUAUAUAAAAUUUUGUGAUCUUCUAUCUUCAUCUAGAUUCUUUUUAUGUCUAGGAAAAUAUCAAAGGACUGCUCCCUGUGACAUGAGGCUGCUAUUAAUUACCAACAUUUGAUGUUUAUGCAAAAAUUACCCCUAAUUGUUUAGCCUAUGGAAGAAGUGGCCAUUAGAGGUAUUGAUUUUACCGUGAUUGUGAAAUAUUGUAUUGGAUCUGUUCCUACACCAUAAGCUUGUCUAUUGUAAGAUUUUUUUAAUACCUGAGGAGAUAUGACCUAUCUAAAGAGUAUAUAUAUGGGAUAUCCUAAUAGUAACUUGACAGCUUAUCAACAUUUCAACUGUUGUACCUUUUACUAAGAUGGUCCCUAUGCCAAAUUAUGCUUUCCUAGAAUCUUCCUGUGAGCUUCAAGCACCAACUGCUGAUUAGCUCGUCCUUUGUUGAAUUGUCAUUUUCUCUUUGUAGUGACUCCUUCCAACAGCUUUAGUCAGAUUUCAACACCAGAAUAUGGCUAGAUUUGUAUCAGUGGCCAUCCUUAAUUUGCUUGAACUACACCAAAUCAAAGAGAUCAGUUUUAUUUUUCAUGACAAUCAGCAUCUGUGUGAGAUUCCUGUUUGGCGAGCUAAAUAACAUUUUAUUACCUGGCUUUUUUAAGAGUGCUGAAUAGCUUCAUAAUGACAUUGUUUUUUUUUUUGAAUGCUUUUUCAACAUUUUUAAAUUUAGUUGUUUAUGGUUCUGCUAGUUGAGGGUGAGCUAGGGCUGAAAGCGGGUCAGAUUAUAUCCGACCGUAUCUAUUUUCGUAUUCGAUUCAUAUUGGAUUCGGAUACUGUUUUUUUGGUCUGAUCAGAUACAGGUACGGAUUCGAAUAGUCAGUUCAAAAAUCUUCCGGAUACGGAUAUGGAUGCGAAUAUACCUGAUUUUUCCGGAUUUGGAUAUCUGUAUAAUAAGGGUAAGUGAAAAGAAGAAUUUUAAGUUAAGUUAAAUUAGAGAAUCAAUUAAGUAAUUAACCAAAUCUUAACUAAAAGGAACUCAGAUAUCAGAUGACCAUUACUUAAGACAAUAACCCGAAUAUAGAAUACUUGAUUCGAAUAAGAUCCUUCGAAUCGCUUCGCAUGCCUGAAAGGCACAAAUCUCUCGUUCGUCCAUUUCAUCCUUUUUUUCCUCUUCAUCAUCUUCAAGCAACUAGGAUUUCGAAGGUUCGUCCAUUUGUUAGUUUCUACCCGGCGGUUGCAACCGGUGACAACCAUGAGAUAUCUUGGAGGCGGCAUAGAUCUCCUCUACUUUGGUGACGAGCAACCUUGAGCGAUAUAUUCUUUAUGAAGUUGUUAGUUUUUAUUAUUGAUAAAUACUUGUUAAAAUUAUAUUUUUUAAAUUGAUUUUUUUAAUGAUCAUGUCUUUAUUUCUAGUUUUCAUCUUUGAAUUUUGCUCAAAUUUGAUUAAUAUCUGAAAAAGUAUAUGAUCUAUAUCUAUAUUCGGAUAAGAAAAUAUAGAUAUGUUCAAUAUCCAAUUUGUAUCCAUAGCCGUUUAUAACAACUAUGGAUAUGUUUAAUAUCCGAUUCGUAUCCGUAUCCGUAUCCGUUUAGAACAAAUAUGAAUAUUAAUUUUAAUAUCCGUUUAAUAUUCGUAUCCGUAUUCGUUUAAAAAUAUGGAUAUAUCAAUAUCCGAUCCGUAUUCGAUCCGUUUUCAGCCCCUAGGUGAGCCUUGGUGCAACAGUAAUGUUGUUCCAUUUUGACUGAAACACAGAAGUAGCGUCUCCACAUGCAAGGGUAAGGUUGCGACAUCUAAUCCUCCCCAAAUCUCGCAAUGGUGAGAGCCUUGUGCACUGGCUGCCCUUUUUAUGGUUCUUCUGGUUAAUUUUGGUCAAUUAGAUCCCCUUAGUCUUAGGAUCAUCUGAAUUACGGGAAAACCAAAUCCUGCACAUAUUUAAUAGCAUUAUUUGUCAUUUUGCUUGAGUCACCUGCAGACUCCAGUUCAUUGCAACUGUUUUGAUUGUUCAACAAGUCACUGAAAUGUUAUUUUUCUCUUUUUCAUGUCUUUUAUAUUCUUCCCAUGGAUUUCUUUUGGUAUAUCUGUGCUACUUGUAUAGUUUUCUGCCAUUGGGUGCGUAUAACUUUUGGAAGGACCAAUUGCUUCACGCUGUUCACCACAUCUAUGAUCAUCUUUAGAAUCUGAAAUGUUAGAUCAUCCCGAUAGGCUACUCCUUCCAACAGUGGAUUCGUUUCAUCCUGUUCAACAUCGAUCCAGGUAUGAUAGCAAGUCAUGUGAAGCCAAAACAUUAUAACCUUUCUCUCUGGCUGGCUGGCUGGCUGGCUGGUUAAAUCAUUCAGCUUGCUUAUGCAUCACUUUCCUUUCGUAGAUACUGCAUCAUUUGUUUGCCCAUAACAUUCAGAUUAUCUCUGCAUGGAUGAGAGAGUUUCUGUCUUUUGAUUUUGGCAGGAAAGUUUAUGAUGAAAAAAAAUAUGGUCUAUUUUAACAGCUAGGUAUAGGUGACAAUUGCUUUGAUCUUUUACAGGUCAAAUAUACAGCUGUAUCUUGGUCUUUGGGGAUAAGUUUUAUCUUUUCUACUAUAACAUGAUCCCAACUUUAGCUUGUUUUCCUUCUUUCAGAAAAUUGGUUAUAGCCUGUAUGAUGCUUGCAGUUUGAGUGUAAGGUUUAGACCUUACAUCCAAUCUAGGAAAUUUAUUUUCUAUGCAUAAUCAACAAAUUGUAUUUGUCAUACUUCCCUGGUUCUCUCAUUAUAAGAAAAAUGAUUUUAUUUAAGAAGAAUGAAGGGAAAGGACUUUGCAACACCAAGAAUAUCUAUAGUUGUGUAGUUAUGAUGCGAUUAAGGUUAAGCAUGAGAAUAGGGUGGGUCAACCCUAGGGGUAGCCAUGGGUUGGGUCAGACUAAGUUCGGGUCAAAAACACUCAACCCAUACUAGGUAGAUUUAUAAUUGUGUUUGAAAAUAUAAAUCCACACCCAUCCCAUUUAUUUUAUAUAAACCGAUACCCACCCAACAACACAUUUAAGUUCUCACUUCACUGGUCAAUCAUACACAACUGAAAAAUGAAGCAAAUUGUAGUAUGCACAAAUCACAAAUCAUAAAAUCAAAUUUAAUUUCAUAUAACUAAUUGCAAUCAUAAUGAACUUGAAAAAUUAUUAAAAAAAUAUGAAAGUCAUAAACUAAUCAAGAAUAUAACUAGCUAAAUGCAACCCGAUAUCCCAAAAUCUCAUAGCCUAUCCUGUAUUUUCACUUUAACCUUUUUUUUUGGUAGUGAAACAAACUAUAUGAAAAAAUUAGAGAACUAUCAACUAUAUGGGUAUGGAAGCAAUUGGUUCCCAGCCAGAUCACCUUGGUCCACCCAUUGGGUCCGGAGUCUGAGCCCAAACCUGCCCAUUUAUAAUCGAGAUGAUUUUGGGUCAACUUGGAACUGACUUAAUUUCGAAGCAUCCCCACCCAAACCUAUUUGUUUCACAUGGGCUGGUGUGGAUGGGUGGUUCCGGGAUAGAGUUUGCCACCCCCAAUCACCCCUCCCUUUUCCUAAAAGAAGAAGAAAAAGGUUAAGCACGAGAAGAAAAGGCCUGGUUGAAAGUUAAUGUGAGCUGUUGAGUGGCAGUGGCCUAAAUCAAAACUUGAUAGCAAUGUGAAAUGUUGUGGGGAAAAUGUUUGUGGAUUUGGUGCAGUAUGGUUUGAUAGGUUUGUUACUUGUAUGCUAUUUUAACCAUCUUUUGACUAUUCUUUCCUGAUGUUUCUGCCUUUUCUGCUUAACACGAGGUCGAAGAGCUAUCAAAGGAUGACUACUACUCCAAGAACAAUGAGUUUUCAACCUGGUUGAAGGAAGAGAGAAGUAUAUAUUUCUCUGACCUUUCAUCUGAGGCUGCACGAGAUCUAUUCUCAAGUUUUGUCAAGGAUUGGAACAACCAAAAGCUGCAUUCUCGGUACUAUGAGGGCAUUACUAGUGGACCUCGGACAGCACAUAACUGGAAAAUCAAGCACGUUAAAUAGGCCUGGAUACCACAGGCAGCAGGGAUGCUACUGAAGCUUCACCAUGCAUUGGAUACUUCUGUUAGUAACAGCAUAGCUAGCUUGUUUUAUUUAUUUUUCUUUUCUCAGUGCAUGGAUAUGUCCUGUAUUCUACAUUAAAUCAAAUUUCAAUCUGAGACAAAGUAUGGAGAUGUCCUGGACAUAUACUGAUCCUUAGGGAAUAAAAUGUAUCUUUUCUUUCUCAAAUCCAUGAAACUAAUAUGUUAUGCAUAUUUCACCAUGUCUCUUAUUUUAAUUUGAGAUGAUUGUCUUUGUUAAUGGGAAAGCUUGAAUCAGUUUUGUAGCCUCAGUCUUUUAUCAACAGUAUUAGCCCGUUUUCCCAUCACAGAGUGGUUUGUCGUCCAAGCAUUUAAAUUUUAUUACACGUAGCUUUGAGUUUUAUUAUACAUUUUAUGCAGGCAUUCAUUACAUAAGCAAUGAAGUGUAUUUUCAAUAAAAAAAAAAAAUCAAAAUUGCAUACAGUUUGCCUCAUUCUGCAAUAAUCUUUUAAGAAAUUGAGUUUCAAUUUGGAUUCUUUUGCUUGCAUUCCUAAUGUACCAAGUGUCCCAAAGUUACCAGGAAAACCAAACCUUUUCACAAAAUAAAGCUCCAAUAAAAUCAUGUUGAUGUUGAAACUUGUUGCCGAUGGAAUGGACAUUGGCACAAUAGAGACCUAUACAUUUGUAUCCUCAUCAAAAUUUUUUUGUCUAUCAGAUGCUAGCGAAGGUGAUAGGAAUGAACAUGUCACCGCAUUGUGAUUGUUGUUGGAUUUUCUCUCCUUUACAAGUAUCCAAUAAAUAUGGAGGUAAUUGGUGCACUUAGAAGAUGAGCCGAUGGACAUAAACAUUUUACAUCAAUACAUGGACAUUAACAUGCAAACGAGUCUAGCCUCAAGUAAUGUAUUGAUGACUGAAAAAUCGAAUGCCCAUCUUGUUUUGAAAGGCUUAAGGUCGCAUACUUAUGAUCAAAUUUUGGUGGAUUUGACCCCUUGGACACCAAGACCUCAGCAGAAGAGUCUUGCCAGAAAAAACGGAAUAAAAUAUAUGAUAAUCAUCUCAUUAACUGAAAAGCCUCAAAGACCCCCAUGGAUAAAACAACGGUAUGGAUAACAAGACGACAAUCGCACAAUUGACAGCCUGCAGCUUUGCAUGAGGAGAACUCUUGAAUCAGAGUUCAUAUUUGAAGGCAAAAUUAAAGGCGUAAAAGGUAAUCAAAAUUUACAAUCCUCAGGCCAAAGGAUGAAAAAGUUGUGAUUAUUUCAGCAGUCAAAUGCUCGCUGCUAGAGCCUGCAAAGAUGAUGAAACAACAAGAUUUUGCGAAGCAUGAACUGAGAAUCGGCAAAACUCAAACUGACAAUUUUGUCGAGAUAAAUCUAGAAUUGCCUCAAUGUUUGGCAUCUUCCUCCUCACAGAAUUUUGCAUAUAGGUCGGAAUCCAUCAGUGAGUCCAACUCGCCUGCAUCACUCAUUUUGACCUUUAUAAUCCAUCCAUCAUCAUAUGCGCUAGCAUUCACCUGAUUCAAGAAAAACAUUUCAAGUUAUCAUCUUUAGCAAGAUUUUCAUCUUUCAAACCCAAAACUUAACAAGCAGCACAAAUGUAGGUCUAUUACAAGGUUUUAGGCAUGGCCACCACCCAGGUUCAAACCCAGGGCAUCUUCCCUGUUGCAUACACUUAGGGAUGCCAACUUGCAGCCCCAACUACCGCUGGAAAAAGGUUGCUGACAACCUUGCAGAUGGAGCUAGGGUUAUUCCAGAUCGUGUCAUCUGGGUUUCAAAUGUUCUCAAGUGAUUUUUCUUACUUUCUAAAGCUGAGGCUAAUAUGUGAGGAAUUUUACAUUGGGGAGCUCACUCUCCUUUACUUGCCAAAAAAAAUGAGCACCAACACAAACAGCAUAGAAAUUCCAGCAUCCAAACAUUAUCUAUCAAAGGACACUAGAAUAAUCAAGGUAUCUUUGCUUUUCUAGGAAAAAUAGAUCUAGGAAUUCGCACUGUUAGCAGACCCAUAUGAUGGUCAAAGGUGCGCGGUAGCUCAACCUGACUGCUGAACCCGAUCGAACCCUGGAGAUGGACCUGUGUCAAUUAACUUUGAACAAUGGUCUGAUGUUGUUAGGCCUCAUGUCUAAAAUCAACUAACUUACCAAAAAUGAAUCUAGCAAAUUUCCUUGUAGAUGAAAGGUCAGAAAUGGGACAGUGCGGGAACAACCAUUACCAAGUCCAAAAGUUAUCGACCACUAGCUUUGCUGGUCAGCUUUAUUCACCCCAGCCCACAGAGGAAUUUUAAGAUAAGCAGAAAAAAUUUAAUUUGUUUAGUGAUCAGAAAGCAAAAGAAAAUGAAAGUGGUACUCCUGUGGACCUGAAUGUCUUUAAGUUCAUGUGCCCUUGCAAAACAUAGUUCCAAAAAUCCUUUAUUUGUGAAUUCUCCUUUCUACUUCUAUGACCAUCCAGCCAUCUUUCUUACAAGGAUUCCAACUAAUGAAGGAUAUACCCUAGUACUACUUGGGUUAAAAAAGGAAAAAAGGAUUUGGUGAGAGUGCUAACAUCAAGGUAGGCCGAACCGGACCAAACCGCCCAGCACACCAAAAAAAAAAAAAAAAUACUAAAGGCACCAGUAGCCCCAAUGGAGAGUGUGGAGGAGUCAGUUCACUUAGAUUCAAAGAUUAGGAACAACAGUUCUAGUGGUCAUAGAUCUGUAGAUCAGGAAGGGAGUGGAGGAUAUGAGACCACUAUUUAUAAGACAACCACAUGGUAGUCUUCGAUUCACCAAUGACCCCUAGUUUAUGCAUGCUACACAGGAUAAAGACCACGGUCCACGAUCUGGUGGAGCCAGCAAGAAUCUGAUUACAUAUAGAAAAUGGGCUCCUCGAGGUCAUUCAGAAAGACACGAUGCAGCUUCAGAUAACCUCACACGCGCGGUAAGAUCCAUAAACAUAUCAAGUUCUUUAGCAUAUUGAAUCCUAUUACUCACAAUCACAAACAACCUAUAACCCAUUCGGAUAUGGAUAUGAAUAUUGUGCGUCUGAGACAUCUUCCAGUGGCUACUAUCCUAUGCAGCCUAGAGCAUCCUAUGAGUCGGAUUUUGCUGUCGGCUUAUUCAGAUAAGCCCCUCCACAGCCGUUUUAUCAGUUUUAUUGGCCAGUUUUUCAGCCAGAGGAUACCUUUCAGAGUCAGAGCUUCAGCAAGAGAUCCAAGAGUGCCUAAAACCCUAAGCACGUUCCUUAUGGGAUGAACAUACAAGACUACAACGCCUUUUGAUUACAAGGGUGGGCAGAUGUACCUCCUGCCUAUGCCAAUGAUCCAAAUAUCAACAAGAGGCGUCGCCACUCGACGAGAUUUUAGAUAUUGAUACAUACGUUGUACUUUAAAUAUAUAUAAUUGAUUGUAUUAUUUUAUAUUUUUCACCUCACUACUUGAUUUGAGGAUAUUUUAUAUUGUUUCUUGUAGCAUGCAACAUUUCACUAAUCAUUUUAUAUUUUAUAUCGUUUUAAAAUAACAAGAUGCAUCAUUUAAGUUAAACGGAAUUAUAAAAACAUUAAAAAAAUAAAAAAUAAAAAAAAUAAAAAAAAAGAUUGAUUAGUAAUUAAAUCAACUUGAAAAACUCCAAAAAAAAUUAGGUGUGCCGGUUCUAUAAGCGUACUGUGUGUCGGUACCAUACGCCGACCGGUAUAGGUUCCGGUACCAAUUUGGUGGACCUUAGUCUAACAUUGUUAUUAUUUUUCGUAUAACAUUAUGGAAGCCGGUACAGAACUGACAAGUCCAAACAUACCGUGUGCCGGUACCGUCCACCGACUGGUACAGGUCCCGGUACCGAUUCGGCGAGCCUUGACUAACAUUGUUACUGUUUUUUGGUAUAACAUUAUGGAAGCAAAACACAAGGGACUAAAUACCAUUACUUUUUGUGAUCACCUCUCCUACCCACUUUAACAAUCUAUUAUGGUACUUUUUUCCCCGUGCACAAUUCCCCCAUGAACUAGGUGGAACUACACCUUCUAAGUAGAUUGAAACCCUCGACUCAUUUGAUUCCUGUUUGGGGUGCAGAAAAUUCUCUUUACCGUGAAGGUCUUCGAAUACAUGAACUUGGUCAUUGUACCAAGUAUCUUAUAAUGAUACUCUAAUAGUUAUGAUGAUACAUGAAUACAAAUCAAGAUGUAACUAGCAUAGCUAUUUGAUCCUAUAUUGAGCCAAAAAGCAUGAUUUCCUGUUUAAGGGGGCACAUUGCAAACAUAUAAUUGUCAUGAGAUUCAUGGUGCUGCAGCACAAACCAAUAACAAAAGUUUAAUUGGUUUUGUUUCUGGCUAUUACUUUAUUCAAUGGCCUAAACUAUAUGGGUGACCUACAUCAAAUCUGAGUUAAUGAUGAUAUAAGUAUCCUUACCAAGUGGUUCACAAUAGUAUUGCUAAUGUCUCGACAAGUUAGAUUGAAUUCAAAAUUGUCCUCAUCGCUCCAAUGAUAAAAGGAUAAAAAAGUUAAUUGAAUGGGAAAAGGAGGACAAAAAGAGGGCUGUUCUUCAUGCUUGCUGUUGUCAACAGAUAAGAAUAGAGUGAAAACAAAACAAGAGGAAAGAAAAGAAGAUGACAUGAAGAAAUAAGGAAGAAUGGAAGGUCAAAGAAGGAUAAAAGGAGAGAUAGGAUAAGCAGAAAAUGGAAAUAAUUCAUUUAUUCAAUUCAUCAUUUGGAUGAAUAGAAUGUGGGUGGUCCUAACUUAACAGUCAUGUCCACUAAAUUUCUAAAGGAGUGCUUAUCGACUUGCUAUGCUACUCUUUGAAAAUGUCCUAAAAUCUAGAAACUAUUUUAAGUGGGAUAUGUCACCUAAACACGGGAUAAGAACCUCUCCUACUUACAUGUCCAGAUAUCUAAGAAGAUAAACAUAAAAUACAAAGGUAUCAGAUGCAAGGAAAUCAAGGAGAGAUCUGAAACUUAGUCCCCUACAAAUUUUAGCAGACAACUAGAGAACAUAAAGUUGAUUUUCCUUUUCAAUGCCUCCCGUUGAAAAACUAGAAAAAAACAUCAUGAAGCCUGUCAUGUACAAAUGGUACAACAAAGAAUGAAAGAAGAAGGUUGAAUAAACGAUUUACUAUCAAGUACCAAUUCUAAAUUAUGAUUAUAGUUUAAUGGUCAAGUUAACAAAGAUCUUACAAAUGCCUAGUAAGUCUCAGUUGGAUGUGAUUAUGCAUUCUAUACAACAUAAAAAGGAGAAAGCAAUUCCUUAGAUGUCAUAAGAAGAUAGGUUAGAACUGGACAAGACAAGGUUGUGAAGAAGGUAGCUUGAGUAGGGCUCAUUUGCCAUGAAAAUGGUAAACUAAGUGAGAAUUCCAUCAAAUUCAUCAAUAAAAAUGGCUGUCAGGCAACACAUACCAAUCCAGGAGAGCUAUUUAGCUCAGUGUUAACUUCAACUACUUCUCCGGAAACGGGAGAAUUGAUGUCACUAGUAGCCUUGACACUCUCAACUGCUCCGAAAUUCUUUCCCUGUGUCACAUUGGUGCCAACUUCAGGCAAUUCCACAUACACAACAUCACCCAAGUGGUCCUGAAAACAAAACAGCAUAAAUUGAGUUUAGUAAAAUAACGAACCAAACAAACCAUUUAUGAGUUAUGUUGAACUUGAUAGAAAUAGGAAAAUUAGCUAAUAAGCAGCAAACUUCAACUCUUUUGGAGCACAGUGGAGAGCGCUACUCUAUCAAGAUGAACAAAGAAAAUAUUCCUAUACCACAGCUAAACUUGGCAACUUGGCCCGAAGUGAUGAGUUAAAUAACAGUAUCUUGUUUGAUGUUAUGUUACUCAAACAAUUAGAAAUCGAAAAAGCAUUGUGCUUGCAUGAUAAAACUGAUCAAGUAUAAAACCUGAGCAUGGUCUGUUAUUCCAACUGUUGCAGAAGUACCGUCAACUUUAACCCACUCAUGCGUGUCGGCAUAUUUCAAAUCCUUCAUAACUGCAAAUGAAUAAAAUAGAAUUGAUUCUGUAACUUCCAAAGAAAGUACAGGCAUGCAAUAACCACUCUUCCAAGUUUAACUGUCCAUUACCCUUCACUAUAAUGUGUAUACAGUACUUUGAUUUACCAUGCAUGUACUUGUAGAUUUGCCAUGCAUGUACUUGUAGAUUUGCAAUGCAUGUGCAGUCAUAAAUUAUCUAACAAACAUAUAAUAAGAAUAUCUUUGCCAGCUUGAGCCACUCACAAAGCAAGUGAACCAUGCAGCUAUAGUUUGUCUAGUAACUAUUAAGAAUUCAUGAUCCAAUGGAAUUUCACCAAGAAAUCUGUGAACUAUUUAGUAGGCUAAAUUUAGGGGAAGAAGCAAGUAAGAGGAAAUAAGCAAUGAUCAAUUUUUAAUGUGCUUGCGUGUUCAAAAAAAACAGAAUGGAUGAGCAUUCAAGUCAUCACAAUACAACAGGGUAUGAGCGGUGAGAACAAGCUCUGAUUGGAAAAAAAAUGCUCUAAAGCCAAACUUCCCUACACACUUCACAGGAAUGUGAGAUAUUGACCAAGAAUAACAUUUGUCUCCCAGUGGAUGAGGGGGACCCCGAGUUAAAUGCAUACAUUAUUAAUGGAAUAUCUAUCAGUAAACCAAAUCAGCAUUUUUAGACAUCCUCAACUAAGUGCAAAGGUAGGAGAGUAGAAGAGAGAUAAUAAGAAAGAGUCCAAUCAUCAUAGCAAAUAAUCCAAAGCAGAGUAAUAUAAUAAACAUUCUAAGGACCAGUUAUUAACGCUUACUAAUAUGAACUCCAUGGUUAAUAUUAGGCCUAGGGGUGUACACGGGUCAGGUCGGAUCGGUUUGGAACUAAACGCAAAACCGAACUGAUUUCAACCAGUUUCCUAAAAUCAAAAUCGAAACCGAACCAAUCAUCUACAAAAACUGCUUGAAACCAACCUAAAAAAUUUUGAUUCAUUUCGUUCAGUUUAUUAGGUUGAUAUUCAAUGGGCUAGGCUAAGUCUAAAUAUAAAAAAUUUCAUUUUAUAUAGGGUUAAUAUUUAAUGGUCAGGACUAAAUGGGCUGGGCUAUGUCUAAACAUAAAAAUUAUAUUUUAUAUAAAAAAUAUAAAAAAAUAAAAAUAAAAAUUUUUAUAUAUAGGCACACAUAUGGGUCGGGUCAGUGGUUUGAAUCGGUUUUCUAAAAAGUCAAAUCGAAACUAAACUGAAUUUUUUCGGUUCAAGACUUUCUCCAACCGAAACCAAACAGAAUUUAAAAAAAAAACAACAAAAGCCGAAUCGAAGAGACCGGUUCCUGUUAGGUUCGCAGUUCGGCUGGUUUUUUGCACACCCCUAGUUAGGUCUAAAGAUAACAAGGAAGACAAGAACAUUUACUAGUUAAUAAUAAUGAAUAGGAUGUGCAAUAAAUUGAAUAUUUUCAAAACGUGUUAAUCAUAUUGUUCAUAAACUAGGUAAUCAUAAUAUGCUAAAGCAUGUUCACUUUCAACAAGAUGAAGGCCAAUGGAAGUGUGAUGACAUUUUUGGCUUGAAUAGUACACAAUCUUUUAAUCUUAAAGACCAAAUGAGCUAACCGUGAAUUGGUUUCCUGGCAAACUCCUGCAUGCAAAAGGAGAGUCUUCAUCUUAAUGCUAAAAGAAACAUAUAUAUCCUAGUACAAAUGUAAGUAUGGAAUCUUUUAACAACUUCAAUUACAUGAAAGCUUUGAAGAAGUGAACUCAGAUACUAGUAUUACUUCCAGUCGCUAUAUAAUCCUCAACUUUGUUCUCAUACAAAGGAAAUACUGGAGAGGCAUGGACCAAGACAAGGGAAGUGCUGCUUAUUCAAGUCAUGUAUUUCCGACAGAAUAUACUUGUUCUAUGGACAAUAUCACUUUGGAUCUCAAUAGUCAAGGGUCUUACUUUUCUGAAUACUCGUCCAAAUGUCUGAAAUGUAAUUAGGUUUUCUACCUACUCAAACCUUCACCUUCGGUGAAUCUCGAAAGGGGUUCAUUUUCUAUUUGAUGUAGACUGAGGUGCUGUUACAUGCCACCUGCUGCACUUACCAGCAAUGUCACAUGCAUGACAGCCUCCAAUUCUAAUUGGCUGCACUGCAUACUCAUGAUUCUCGCUUUGAUAGUCUAGCCCUUACUAAUCACCAAUCAAAAAGUGGAUUUCUUCAUUUCUAAUACCGUUUGCAGGAUUAUCUCCCUAUCAUGAGCUAAAUUAUGUUAGUUCUUCAAUUUCAGCCCAAAAUGAAUGUAUCCUGAGUCUUCUCCAUUUUAUUGGCAGGUUUUCCUUCUACUUGUUAAUGAUCAAAAAAUCUAAAUUUGUCUUUGAGACUUUAAACAUCCUCAAGGAAAUGGAUGGUUCAUAAUGUUCCCACACAAACAAUUAGCUGAUCUCUGUGUAUUUGUUUGCAUGUUUGGUGUUUGGGUCCUUGUCAGCAUGAAAAGAGAUCCAGAGUUUUCAAGUGUCCUAUAUGUUCCAUUUCAUCUAGGGGUUAGAUUUAUUAUAUCAGCGUUGUUUCCUAAUCCUAGCAUAUGACCCAAGGAUUAGACACCCGGUUUGACUUGGUCCAUCACGGAUAAGAUGAGAGAAAUAACAAGUCUCGAGAAAACUGCAGGAUCCUAGGUCUCUAUGGACCAUGUCAUCCCCAUAGGUCUUAGUUGGGAUGGACAAGGACCUAUGCAUCCUAACAAUUGGGAUGGCCUAGUGUCCUAGUAAGUUGGGAUGCCAAUUUGAUUAAUUUAUUAUGGACCAAGAUCUAUGCAUUUUGACACUUGGAAUUGCCUCGCAUCACAAUAACUCACUGAGAUGCCAAUUCUUUUAUUUACUUUUUUUACUUUUUCUUUAUUUUUUAUUUUCAAUUAUUGUUUAGAAAUUUUCUUAUUAUUCUACUUAAGUUCAUUGACUUUCUUGUUUAUGAUUCAUUUGAUAAGUGGUGCUUCAUUUAAAUUUAUUGUUAUUUUUCAAAUUUUCAAACUACAAGUAUUGGUAUUGGUAUCUAUACCACAAACCCAACC
rnacentral:lncRNA from 1 species